GAGUCAUUCAAAGCAUGGAAACCCAAAUAAAUGCCUUAAUUGUGAUAAAUAAACACAGCCCUGAAUAAUGUCAAAAAAUAAAAAUGGAAUUUCAAAAAAAAAAAAAAAAAUUGUAAAAUAAACAAAAAUUUAACAGACAAAAUUUUUCACAACGACAUAAGACAAAACGAGUCAAUGUGCACAUGGCAUAAGAGAGUCUCUCUCCUUAAAGAUCACCAACAGACUACUGGAUAACACUAUCAUAGCUUUCCCUGAGUGACUUAAAAAAUUCCCGAAAAUAACUACCUAUUACGAGUUAAGAAUAUUCUAGCAGAGCGAAAUAACAAAAACGUCCAUUCCACUCAAUGGUUCAACGGUGCAUAGUUAAACGCAUCAAAAUACAACGCUUGUGUUGGUCAGGUCAUGUCAGAAUGAAUGAAGAAAUCCCAUCGAAGAAGUCUUUUGAUGGCGAUCACUGUGCAAAGAUCAAGUGGUGAGAGACAUAUUCAAAUUUGGUGUCAGAUUAUAGAAGGAGCGCAGAAGAUCGAGGCGGUUGAAACGAUAUUCUAAAGUUCGGCUAAAGGGACAAAUGUUCCGUCAUAGCCAAUUGAAGUGAAAAAUCAAAACAGACCUAUUGGCCUAAGCUGGAAUAACAAGACGAUAGCAUACCUUGGAAAUAUCUUUUUUUAUACUUAUGCCAUGCUUC